rnacentral:miRNA from 1 species
UUUUGAUUGUUACUAAACUUUU